rnacentral:misc_RNA from 1 species
GAUGAAGAACGUAGCGAAAUGCGAUAAGUAGUGUGAAUUGCAGAAUUCCGUGAAUCAUCGAAUCUUUGAACGCACAUUGCGCCUUCUGGUAUUCCGGAAGGCAUGCCUGUUCGAGAGUCAUUAACAACCGUUUCGAUCCCUUUCUUUCGGAAAUUACAAAGAGGAAAAGGGUUUGGUUAUGGUGGAGGAGGGAAAGGGAGCGUUUAGCCUGUAAAAAAAGAGGCUGUGUUCCGCCUCCCCCCCAAAAUUGUACAGGCGGUCGUGUGCGCCCACGCAUCGAGGUGUUGUAAAAGCUGCCACGGCACUUUUCACCUGUGCAGUGCGAGAUUGGCCAGCCGGUUUAAAAACCCCUCCAAACAAUCAAAGGUUGACCUCGGAUCAGGUAGGGAUACCCGCUGAACUUAAGCAUAUCAAUAAGCGGAGGA